UUUUCCUACGGGGGGCAGCAGUGGGGAAUAUUGCACAAUGGGGGAAACCCUGAUGCAGCGACGCCGCGUGAGCGAAGAAGUAUCUCGGUAUGUAAAGCUCUAUCAGCAGGGAAGAAAGAAAUGACGGUACCUGAGUAAGAAGCCCCGGCUAACUACGUGCCAGCAGCCGCGGUAAUACGUAGGGGGCAAGCGUUAUCCGGAUUUACUGGGUGUAAAGGGAGCGCAGGCGGCAGGAUGAGUCUGAUGUGAAAACCCGCGGCUCAACCACGGGAUUGCAUUGGAAACUGUCCAGCU
rnacentral:rRNA from 1 species